rnacentral:misc_RNA from 1 species
GNGGAUCAGCAUGCCGNGGUGAAUANGUUCCCGGGCNUUGUACACACCGCCNGUCACNCCAUGAGAGUUUGUAACACCCAAAGUCGGUGGGGUAACCUUUUAGGAACCAGCCGCCUAAGGUGGGACAGAUGAUUAGGGUGAAGUCGUAACAAGGUAGCCGUAGGAGAACCUGCGGCUGGAUCACCUCCUUUCUAAGGAAUAUUACGGAAACCUACACACGCGUCGAAACUUUGUUUAGUUUUGAGAGAUUUAACUCUCAAAACUUGUUCUUUGAAAACUAGAUAAUAUCNNAUAUAUUUUUGNAAAAAGAAACNGAGAACA